CAGUCGACAAUGUUUUCCUACGUGUCGGGAGAGUACGGUCGACGCCUCAACAAAAACAACAACAAAAAAUUGUAAAUAAAAUAAAAACACCUGAUAAUACUGCAUAAGGGUGCUGAGAUCACUGCCUUUAAGAGAAUGACAGCAGAGGUGCAAUCUGGAAUACUGACAUCAACCUGGACACAAGCAAGGACUUUUUACAAUGACCCACAUGCAGGACUGGCCGAUUUCUGGAAGGCUGUGUCUUGGUAGCCACUUGCUGGUUGAGGUGAAACUGCGGAGGCCUGGACUGGAACGACCCUCGAUAACCACAGGUGAGUAGAGCAUUUAU